GGGGGCUGAAGAGGGGACCAAAUCCCCUGCCCCAACAAACUUCUCAUUGUCUCACUCCCUUGAGCAGGGCGGACCCAGGAGACCUGAUCAGCAUUUGCCCCCAGCCCCCUGUGGGGCCUCGGGGCCCCCUGAAACCUUCAGGACGGAGUCAGGUGAGUGACCAACUUGACAAAGGACAGGGGCUGCAUUAUACAUGGAUCGUGGUCAUUACCGGUAUGACCGGAGGAGCUGCCAAGCACUGCCACACAGCCUUUCUCCCAUACUUGGUGACUGUCAAAGCCCCCUCAGUCACAGUCACAUUCUAAACUCUCACCUACAAACACCAACAGCCUCCCUGACAACAGUGAUUUCGUACAGGUCAAACUCUUGCAGAUACACACACGCAGAGUCUCAUAUA
rnacentral:lncRNA from 1 species